rnacentral:tRNA from 1 species
GGGAAUAUAGCUCAGUUGGUAGAGUGCUUGCCUAGCGUGCACAAGGCCCUGGGUUCAACCUCCAGUAUCACCA